UUUACUGAGCAGCUAGCUAUAUUUUCAACAGCAAAAACUGGUGUGUUACCAACACUAAGUGCUUAAUAAACAUGAUUUGAUUUAAAAAUAAUUGGACAUAAUGUAUUCCCCAUGUUAAGCUACCAUUUCUCUUUCAUUCAUUUUAUUUGUUGUUGGCUUUCAGGGCCCUGCGAUGGACUGGUGACCUGUCCAGGGUGAACCUCGCCGCUCAUCUGAUGGCUGCUGGAGAUGAGCACCACCAGCCCCCCUCACCACCCUGCAAGGAUCAGCGUGUUCAGAUCAUGGAUGGAAAGAUUUUGAGGCAAAGAAGUCACCCAGAAAUGUUUUUCCAUUCCAGGCAUCCGGUCCCAAUUAUCAUCAGUUCUGAUGUCACAUACUGUACAUAGCGAGUUCGCAACGUCUUAAAACUGUUUCUGUAAAUGCAGUGAAUGGAAAUGUUCUGUCGUAGAUCCUCACCGUUCUUAGGAAGGAGAAAUGUCAGUUUGUCUGCAGUAAUACAGGAAUACUGUAAUUGUAUUAAAACAAUACUCUGCCUUUGGUGAAACAUUUUUCACAUUUCCUCUAAAGUGAACCUAUUGUUUUAUUGUGCUAAUUUUCAUAAGCAUGUUGUCUGUAAACUUUUAAUGUAUUGACAAUUUCUACAAUUCAUAAACAUGACAUAACACCUGUUAGGAACAUACCAACAGGUGUCAUGAAGUGUCAUUCGGUAAAUAAUGACACUUUUAAUGAGACGUUCCUUUAAACGUUGGAUGACAGGUGUUAUGUUUAUGACAGUGUCAUGUCAGUUUUAUGCACACCCCAACAAAUAAAGUGUUACCAAAAUGGUAAUAUAUUGAAAGCACAAUGUAAUAAGUUUCGCCUGAAAAGUGUGUUGUAAUUGAUCCUUCUGUGAUCUGGUAACCUGAUGUGUUUGCAGUACUGUAGUGUGUAUGAAGCAUGUAAUGUAUAA